ensembl:lncRNA
AGUAGAUCUCCAGGAAGAGGGUUGGACUGAAAACCUACAGGACCAGUAGAUCUCCAGGAAGAGGGUUGGACUGAAAACCUACAGGACCAGUAGAUCUCUAGGAAGAGGGCUGGGCAGCCCUGUACCUUAUCAUACCAGAUUCUGAGCCUCUCGUCUGGCUCUGUGAGAUUAGAUUAGUAGUCCCUCCCUCUUAUGAUUGUUGAUCUGUGGUGGAAAGAUGUUUUUAUUGCUUUACCUCAUUGCCAUGUUUUGCACCAGGACAGUUGGGGCUUUUCUCUAUGAUAUUAACCAGUGUAAAGACAACAACAGUACACUAACCCAGGUCCUAGAGUUCGAGGCAAAUGAAUAUCGUCAUUUCCCUUAGACGAAGUAGGGACCAUAUAGCCCAACAUAACAUACUGUACCAAAAGUGAAAAAACGCAAUUCAUUCUUACACCAUAUUGAUUCAUUCUUACAUACACCAUAUUGAUUCAUUCUUACAUACACCAUAUUGAUUCAUUCACUCGUACACCAUAUUGAUUCAUUCACUCUUACACCAUAUUGAUUCAUUCACUCUUACACCAUAUUGAUUCAUUCACUCUUACACCAUAUUGAUUCAUUCUUACAUACACCAUAUUGAUUCAUUCACUCUUACACCAUAUUGAUUCAUUCACUCGUACACCAUAUUGAUUCAUUCACUCUUACACCAUAUUGAUUCAUUCACUCUUACACCAUAUUGAUUCAUUCACUCGUACACCAUAUUGAUUCAUUCACUCGUACACCAUAUUGAUUCAUUCACUCUUACACCAUAUUGAUUCAUUCGAUAACCUUAUCAGAGUUUGUAUGAAUGGCACAGAGUCCCAGAUUAUGUUAUUUUAGUUAUAGGGCCGGAUCCCCAGACACACAGUCCUAGUUAUAGGACCGGAUCCCCAGACACACAGUCCUAGUUAUAGGGCCGGAUCCCCAGACACACAGUCCUAGUUAUAGGACCGGAUCCCCAGACACACAGUCCUAGUUAUAGGGCCGGAUUCCCAGACACACAGUCCUAGUUAUAGGGCCGGAUCCCCAGACACACAGUCCUAGUUAUAGGACCGGAUCCCCAGACACACAGUCCUAGUUAUAGGACCGGAUCCCCAGACACACAGUCCUAGUUAUAGGACCGGAUCCCCAGACACACAGUCCUAGUUAUAGGACCGGAUCCCCAGACACACAGUCCUAGUUAUAGGACCGGAUCCCCAGACACACAGUCCUAGUUAUAGGACCGGAUCCCCAGACACACAGUCCUAGUUAUAGGACCGGAUCCCCAGACACACAGUCCUAGUUAUAGGACCGGAUCCCCAGACACACAGUCCUAGUUAUAGGGCCGGAUCCCCAGACUCACAGUCCUAGUUAUAGGGCCGGAUCCCCAGACACACAGUCCUAGUUAUAGGACUGGAUCCCCAGACACACAGUCCUAGUUAUAGGGCCGGAUCCCCAGACACACAGUCCUAGUUAUAGGACCGGAUCCCCAGACACACAGUCCUUGUCGAGGAGAAGUUCCAUUGAAAAAGUGUUUUAGGUGCAGGUAACCUAGUGAUUAGAACAUUGGACUAGUAACCUAAAGGUUGCUGGAUCGAAUCCCAGAGUUGACCAGGUAAAAAUCUCUCGUUCUGCCCUUGAACAAGGCGGUUAACCCACUGUUUCCCGGUAGGCCGUCAUUGUAAAUAAGAAUUUGUUCUUAACUGACUUGCCUAGUUAAACAAAUUGAAAUUGUCCAGAAUUAGGCUUAAUCUGUAUCUGGGAAACAGGCCCAACAGGUAGAUUUAUGUGUUGUACCCAUAGAGUUAGGUAGAUUUAUGUGUUGUACCCAUAGAGUUAGGUAGAUUUAUGUGUUGUACCCAUAGAGUUAGGUAGAUUUAUGUGUUGUACCCAUAGAGUUAGGUAGAUUUGUGUUGUACCCAUAGAGUUAGGUAGAUUUAUGUGUUGUACCCAUAGAGUUAGGUAGAUUUAUGUGUUGUACCCAUAGAGUUAGGUAGAUUUAUGUGUUGUACCCAUAGAGUUAGGUAGAUGUAUGUGUUGAGCCCCAUAGAGUUAGGUAGAUGUUUGUGUUGAGCCCAUAGAGUUAGGUAGAUGUAUGUGUUGUGCCCCAGGCAACAUUUUCUAUUUCAUUAAGGGACUUUUUCUUUUCAUUUGUGGUCCACCACCUUCACUCCUUCCGGGAUAUGUGCAAUAUGGUAUCUUAUUACCUGUCAUGAUGUGGAUAUGAAUAUGUAAUAUUGUAUGAACAAGUGACACGUUGUUUGAAAACAACAAAAUUACCAACGUCUUCCAUUAAGAAAUAUUUAUAGUCUUUAUAUGCAUUAGCUUGUUUAGAGGGACUGUGGUGCCAAUAUUAUAACUAACCAUGCAUGAAGGGUUGCUGGUGUUGCUUGCUUUAUGAAUAACCAAAAGGUUGCGAGGUCAAAUCCCCGAGCUGACAAGGUACAAAUCUGUUGUUCUGCCCCCUGAACAAGGCAGUUAACCCACUGUUCCUAGGCCGUCAUUGUAAAAUAACAAUUUGUUUCUCAACUGACUUGCGUAGUUAAAAAAAAUAAGGAAACAUUGUUUUCUAAAAACAGAACAUGUUUGGGAGAUUUGAUUAAAUUGUUAAAUUCUAUUCAGAGUGAAUUUCACCACAGAUAUACAGUUAUCUAAACGGUAUUUUAUGGAAUUAACACCUUUAGAAGCAGACAUAUUGACAUCCAGUGUGUUUACACAGGCAGCCCAAUUCUGAUCUUUUUUUUCCACUAAUUGGUCUUUUUGACCAAUCAGAUCGGCUCUUUUGCCACUAAUUGGUAUUUUUGGCCAAUCAGAUCUUCUCUUUUGCCAAUAAUUAGACAACAUAUUAGAGUUGUGCUUCCUGUGGAAACAGCCUUGAUCAAUAAAAUAACGAUCUAGAAUAUGAGAAUAUAUUUAGUUAAAAAGCAAGGCAUCUAGACAUUUCAGAAGAAAAUAAAAAAAUUCUGCACGAUUUUUCAGUUUAUUUGAUCUAUUGUAAUCUCUGUUUUUAAAGGAAUGUUUAGCAUAUUAGUAGCUAUAUAAUUUAAUGUUUUUUUUUUGUUUAGAGGGAAGACUAUGGUGUAUACUGUGGUUUAGGAGGAUGUAUGUUCCUCAUAUGAAACACCCAACGGUGCGUGAAGUACCACAUGUUGAAACAGAACGACUGACAUUUGAAUUGGCAAAACGGUCUUCUGGGGAAAUUCAAUGUUCAAGCUACGUUCCCUAUGGUACUAGUGCACUACUUUUUGACCGGGGAGGGGGGCAUAGGGCUCUGGUACAAAGUAGUGCACUAUGUAGGGAAUAGGGUGUCAUUUUUGGAAGUAGCCUCGGACUCGUACAGCAUCAUUCUGUAAGAACUAAGAACCCACUGAUUUAGGAGGCCUGUGUUGAUGCCUCUUUUCACGGUUUACAUUCUGUUCAAAUGUUGCACCGUUGUCCAUAUCAAUCGAACUAUGUAUGCAUGUGAAUUAUUAUGCAUCCUUCCUAUUUAAUUGAACGUAAUAGAGCUGCCUCAAGGAGAAACGACUGAGCAAAAAAAUAUAUAUAAUAAUAAUUAUGCUGUAACCCUUUCUUGACAUGUGUGAUCUAAUUCACUUCCUGUGUGAACUAAUUCACUUCCUGUGUGAACUAAUUCACUUCCUGUGUGAACUAAUUCACUUCCUGUGUGAACUAAUUCACUUCCUGUGUGAACUAAUUCACUUCCUGUCUUGAAUACUGUGUUUAAAAAAAUAUAUAUUAAAAAAAUUGUAACGCUACAUAAUGUGGCAAUGCUUAGGAUAGGUAAAUCUAGAAUGUAUCGAUCGUUUAAAACUAUAUUAAAUGCGAGGAGAAAAUAUUAUGCAUGACUAAAAGUAAUCAAUGAUUUGUAUCGCGGGCACUAAUCAACUUGGGAAUUUGCGUUGAUCAUUAGAUCUGUGAUACUGAAAGGUUGAUAUUGUGGCGCUGUGAUAUAAGGUAGUAAUACGUUUUACAGGUCUUGAAUAACAGGGGAUGGUUGUUGACAUCACCCUGAGCACAUUGUUUUGAUAAAAAGAAUGUACGAUGUUGAUCAACAGCCUGAAAUCCAGGCUGUUUGCGCUAUCAUUCUACUAUCAUUCUACUAUCAUUAGACUAUCAUCGACUAUCAUUCUACUAUCAUUUGACUAUCAUUCUACUAUCAUUUGACUAUCAUUCUACUAUCAUUCUAAUGUCAAGGAGUGGAAUGAUGGCCCAAAAGACUGGAUUUCAGGCUGUUGAUCCAAGUAUUACUUGUAAACAAACAGAAUGAGUUGACUGUGCGUUGUGGUGUGACUAUGCACUCCAGCGAGAGGCCCUGGGGCAUGCUGGAGCAACGGAGUCUCCCGUCUCGGUUGUGGAUUAACUGAAGAAAUCUGCAUCAGAAAUGUAGCAAUAAAAAGCAGCAUGGUGC